rnacentral:rRNA from 1 species
UACGUAGGGUGCAAGCGUUGUCCGGAAUUAUUGGGCGUAAAGAGCUCGUAGGCGGUCUGUUGCGUCUGCUGUGAAAACCCGGGGCUUAACCCCUGGCUUGCAGUGGAUACGGACAGACUAGAGGUAGGUAGGGGAGAAUGGAAUUCCCGGUGUAGCGGUGAAAUGCGCAGAUAUCGGGAGGAACACCAGUGGCGAAAGCGGCUCCCUGGUCCAGCACCGACGUUCAGGCACGAAAGCGUGGGGAGCAAACAGG